GAGAACAUGCUUGUCUGGUCCUGCUCUGGCAGUUUGGGGACAGAAUGGAAACAAGCAGACACCCUGCUGCAAGGACCAACCUUACUUUUCAAAGUUAUCCCCUGGCUAGAGUUCCCAGAGCCACACUGCCUGUGAUUAUCUAAUACCUUCUGGAGUAAGAUCUAAUGACCAUUGCAAGUCUAGAAGGCCUUUGAGCUAAGAACACUAUUUUCAACUUCUGAAAGGAUUGUUUUAGCAGGACUUUUAAUCCCUUGAGGGGCAGGGAUAGGCAGGCAGAUCUCUGUGAGUUCAAGGCCAGCCUGGUCUACGUAGGGAGUUCACAGCCAGUACCAUCUCAAGAGAAAAAAAGUUAGGCAAAGUGGCACACACUUGUUAAUCCCAGCAUGGGGAGGCUGAGGCAAAAGCAUAAAGAAUUCAAGGCAGGCUGCGCUCUAAUCCCUACCACAAAAACAAACAAAACCAAACAAACAAAAAACCAGAGACUUCAUGGCCUUGUAAGAUCUGAAAUAUUUACAAAUUCCCCUUUAUAGAAAAUUUUGCUGGCCAUUGCUGUGUUGGCUUCCCGUUACUACAACAGAUUCUGAGACAAUCAGAAAAGGUUUCCUUUAUCUCACAGCUUUGCAGGUAUCCUGUAGUCCUUGGCCCUGUUUGGCCACUGAGGCAGCCCAGUGUAGUAAGAACAAGGACUAACUCAGAACCUGCUUCUCAGCCAAGAGCGCGAGGUGGGGGCACACUCCCCUUCAGGGGCACACCCCCAGUGACUUGAAAACAUCCUGUUUAAGCUGCAUCUUUCAAGUUCCUUUGCCUCCUGUAACACCAAGUCAGAGGCCUAGCCUCUAACACAGAAGCCCAUGGGGAACACGGCAAAUUCAAACUCAGCCUGUGCGAAUGAUCUACAGCUACAAGGGAAACAAGUGCACAGAUGUGAAGCUCGAAUUGUAAGGCGAGCAGUUUGGGUUUGCUGUUCAGAAACCGUCUACCAGAGAAGGCACACGAAGCCUGAGCGAGAUAAUGACUUCAACUUUUAGUUUUCAGGUAAAAAAGCUGCAUUCAGCGCCCGCCUUAAUCUUAGUAAAUCAUACCCUGAGCGAACUGGAACGCGGGGGCCGGGAGAUGGAAGGCGCAGAAUCCUCUAGUGGAAAGGAG
ensembl:lncRNA